AUUGAACGCUGGCGGCAUGCCUUACACGUGCAAGUCGAACGGUAACGGGCCUUCGGGUGCCGACGAGUGGCGAACGGGUGAGUAAUGCAUCGGAACGUACCUUUCAGUGGGGGAUAACGUAGCGAACGUUACGCUAAUACCGCAUAUUCUGUGAGCAGGAAAGCAGGGGAUCGCAAGACCUUGCGCUGAUUGAGCGGCCGAUGUCAGAUUAGCUAGUUGGUGAGGUAAAGGCUCACCAAGGCGACGAUCUGUAGCGGGUCUGAGAGGAUGAUCCGCCACACUGGGACUGAGACACGGCCCAGACUCCUACGGGAGGCAGCAGUGGGGAAUUUUGGACAAUGGGGGCAACCCUGAUCCAGCCAUGCCGCGUGAGUGAAGAAGGCCUUCGGGUUGUAAAGCUCUUUCGGCCGGGAAGAAAUCGCACAGGCUAAUACCUUGUGUGGAUGACGGUACCGGAAUAAGAAGCACCGGCUAACUACGUGCCAGCCGCCGCAGUAACAC
rnacentral:rRNA from 1 species